UACAGAGGGGGCAAGCGUUAUUCGGAAUUAUUGGGCGUAAAGGGCGCGUAGGCGGCUUGGCAAGUGGAUGGUGAAAUCCCUCGGCUUAACCGAGGAACUGCCGUCCAAACUGCUUCGCUUGAGACCGGGAGAGGUGAGUGGAAUUCCCAGUGUAGCGGUGAAAUGCGUAGAUAUUGGGAGGAACACCAGUGGCGAAGGCGGCUCACUGGACCGGUACUGGACGCUGAGGUGCGAAAGCGUGGGGGGCAAACAGGG
rnacentral:rRNA from 1 species